AUUUCUGCAUUCUUAACUGAGGUAUCCGGCUCAUCUCAUUGGGACUGGCUAGACAGUGGGUGCAGCCCAAUGAAGGCAAGCUGAAGCAGGGUGGGGCACCCUCACCUGGGAGUGUUCAUCCAUUAAGGUUUGGGAUUUCUUUGUGAUAACAGCUACUGUUACCUUAACUGUCACACAGAUAAUAUAUGGGCAUGUGUCUCUUAAUGGGGACACAUUCUAAGAAAUGCAUCAUUAGGGUAUGCUGUCAUUGUGUGACCAUCAUAGAGAGUACUUACACAAACUAGACGAUAUAGCCUCCUACACACCUAGGCUAUAUGGUAGGGCCUAUGACUCCUAGGCUACAAAUCCGUACAGCA
rnacentral:lncRNA from 1 species